ensembl:lncRNA LINC01684 long intergenic non-protein coding RNA 1684
AGGUUUAGAUGAAUGGAAAAUGAACUUGCCAGUUCACAGCUAUGUCCUUCCCAAUUUAGGAGGUUAAGGGCAGGAAAAACAUGAGAAACUCUUUUGAGAAGCUGCACAAGCUGACAUGGAGGAUCAAGGAUUUCAAAAGCUUUGAAUAUAAAGAGGUGUCAGACUUACAUCAGAGCCUGAGACUUGACAUGCCUAUUUUUGCACUCGCUCAUUUUUCAAAUUUCAUAGGCAUUGCUCCCUCCAAAUCACCGCUCUUCUAAUUUUAUCCUGGAGUGUGCAUCCCAGAAGACAUAAGCUGACACAAUUGGGAACUGAAGUUGCUUGAAAAAGCUGGUGGGAUCAGCAUCAUAUAUCACUAUUUCUCAAAGAUUAUCUGGUCUCUUGAUGGCAAAUCUACAAUAUUGAAACCUUUGAAAGAGAAAUUGUGUUUUGUGAGUUACAUGACUACCGUUUGCAUCCAAGGUCUCCUCUGUAGUCAAGAGAAGAAUGCAGAAACUACAUGUCCAAGAAUCUCUUUCCAGACUCUAGACAGCUUAUACGUAUUUGGACAAGGCAACGUGAUGAAGAAAUAAUAUAAUUGUAGGAUCACCUCUGUCCAGUAGCUGUUAUCCAACAUCUGCAUACUUAGAUUUCUGGAGAGCCCUAUGCCUUCACAAGAACAAGUUCCCACACCAGGGUCAAGAAGGAAACCGUAAGUCAAGACAAAAGUGCCCAGUGAAGGCAGAAGAUGAGGGGUCUCAGGUUGCAUCUUCGGAGGCACGAGGAUUCAAAGGUGAACAAAGCACACAGUACAUCAUUUGAUGUGAUGGAGUCUCGCUCUGUUGCCUAGGCUGGAGUAUACUGGCAUGAUCUCGCCUCACUGCAAGCUCUGCCUCCCAGGUUCACGUCAUUCUCCUGCCUCAGCCUCCCGAGUAGCUGGGACUACAGGAGCGUGUCACCACGCCCGGCUAAUUUUUUUUUGUAGUUUUAGUGGAGACUGGGUUUCACCAUGUUAACCAGGAAGAUUUUUGCAUGCUGAAUAUUUAUAAACUUUAUUGUAUGCAGUUUUCUUGCCAAUCCUCUAUUCCUCCCUACACAAAUCAAAAAUGUCCAAUAUAUUUUACAUAAAAGAAAUCUAAAAUCAAAA